rnacentral:rRNA from 1 species
CCUACCCUUAGGACUGGGAUAACCCUGGGAAACUGGGGAUAAUACCGGAUAGGCAAGUUUUCCUGUAAUGGUUUUUUGUUUAAAUGUUUUUUCGCCUAAGGAUGAGUCUGCGGCCGAUUAGGUAGUUGGUUAGGUAAUGGCUUACCAAGCCGUUGAUCGGUACGGGUUGUGAGAGCAAGAGCCCGGAGAUGGAACCUGAGACAAGGUUCCAGGCCCUACGGGGUGCAGCAGGCGCGAAACCUCCGCAAUGUGAGAAAUCGCGACGGGGGGAUCCCAAGUGCCAUUCUUAACGGGAUGGCUUUUCAUUAGUGUAAAGAGCUUUUGGAAUAAGAGCUGGGCAAGACCGGUGCCAGCCGCCGCGGUAACACCGGCAGCUCUAGUGGUAACAAUUUUUAUUGGGCCUAAAGC